UACGGAGGGUGCAAGCGUUAAUCGGAAUUACUGGGCGUAAAGCGUGCGCAGGCGGUGAUGUAAGACCGAUGUGAAAUCCCCGGGCUUAACCUGGGAACUGCAUUGGUGACUGCAUUGCUCGAGUAUGGCAGAGGGGGGUGGAAUUCCACGUGUAGCAGUGAAAUGCGUAGAGAUGUGGAGGAACACCGAUGGCGAAGGCAGCCCCCUGGGCCAAUACUGACGCUCAUGCACGAAAGCGUGGGGAGCAAACAGG
rnacentral:rRNA from 1 species